rnacentral:rRNA from 1 species
CCUACGGGCGUCAGCAGUGAGGAAUAUUGGUCAAUGGGAGAGAUCCUGAACCAGCCAAGCCGCGUGAGGGAAGACGGCCCUAUGGGUUGUAAACCUCUUUUGUCGGGGAACAAAACCCGGGACGUGUCCCGGACUGCGUGUAUCCGAAGAAAAAGCAUCGGCUAACGCCGUGCCAGCAGCCGCGGUAAUUCGGAGGAUGCGAGCGUUAUCCGGAUUUAUUGGGUUUAAAGGGUGCGUUGGCGGUCUGUUACGUUAGCGGUAAAAUUGCGGGGCUAAACCCUGACGGGCCGUUGAAACUGGCAGACUUGAGUUGGCGAGAGGUACGCGGAAUGCGCGGUGUAGCGGUGAAAUGCAUAGAUAUCGCGCAGAACUCCGAUUGCGAAGGCAGCGUACCGGCGCCAGACUGACGCUGAGGCACGAAAGCGUGGGGAUCGAACAGGAUUAGAUACCCUAGUAGUC